AUGGAGCUGGGGGCGGCCGGGAUGCGGCGGUCGGCGUCGCACAACUCGCUGUCCGGGUCCGAUGACUUCGACCUCACACACCUGCUCAACAAGCCGCGGAUCAACGUCGAGCGCCAGCGCUCCUUCGAUGACCGUUCGCUCAGCGACGUCUCCUACUCCGGUGGCCACGCCAGAGGAGGCGGAGGCUUCGACGGCAUGUACUCCCCCGGCGGCGGUCUACGCUCUCUGGUCGGCACGCCGGCCUCCUCGGCGCUCCACUCUUUCGAGCCCCACCCCAUAGUGGGCGACGCCUGGGAGGCCCUCCGCCGCUCCCUCGUCUUUUUCCGCGGCCAGCCGCUUGGUACCAUCGCCGCUUUCGACCAUGCAUCCGAGGAAGUCCUAAACUAUGAUCAGGGUUGGGAGAAGAAGGUUGAUCGGUUUAAGCUUGGCGAGGGGGCCAUGCCUGCAAGCUUUAAAGUGCUACAUGACGAUAAGAAGGGUGUUGAUACCCUGCACGCGGAUUUUGGUGAGAGCGCAAUUGGGCGGGUUGCUCCAGUGGAUUCGGGCUUCUGGUGGAUCAUACUAUUGCGGGCCUACACAAAGUCCACCGGGGAUUUGACUCUGGCAGAGAGGCCGGAAUGCCAGAAGGCGAUGAGGCUCAUUCUGAGCCUGUGCUUGUCUGAGGGAUUUGAUACCUUCCCGACAUUGUUAUGCGCUGAUGGUUGCUGCAUGAUAGAUCGUAGGAUGGGUGUGUAUGGCUACCCCAUUGAAAUUCAAUCCCUUUUCUUCAUGGCACUAAGGUGUGCUCUUCUAAUGCUUAAACAUGACGCUGAAGGGAAAGAUUUUGUGGAGCGGAUUGCAACUCGUCUUCAUGCUUUAAGUUAUCACAUGCGGAGUUAUUUUUGGCUAGAUUUCCAGCAGCUAAAUGAUAUUUAUCGUUACAAGACGGAAGAAUAUUCUCAUACAGCUGUCAACAAAUUUAAUGUUAUUCCAGAUUCUAUUCCGGACUGGCUAUUUGAUUUCAUGCCUUGCGAGGGUGGUUUUUUUGUUGGUAAUGUCAGUCCUGCAAGGAUGGACUUCCGUUGGUUUGCACUUGGAAACAUGAUUGCCAUAGUAUCAUCUCUUGCUACACCUGAGCAAUCCAUGGCCAUAAUGGAUCUCAUUGAGGAGCGCUGGGAAGAGUUAAUUGGUGAGAUGCCUCUGAAGAUAUGCUAUCCUGCUAUUGAGAACCAUGAAUGGCGGAUCGUGACAGGAUGUGAUCCAAAAAAUACGAGAUGGAGUUACCACAAUGGAGGAUCUUGGCCAGUACUUCUCUGGCUGCUCACGGCAGCAAGCAUCAAAACUGGACAGCCGCAAAUUGCAAGAAGAGCAAUUGACCUAGCUGAGAGGAGGCUGUUGAAGGAUGGCUGGCCUGAGUAUUACGAUGGUAAGCUUGGAAAAUAUGUUGGCAAGCAGGCAAGGAAAUUUCAGACUUGGUCCAUUGCCGGGUAUUUGGUCGCCAAGAUGCUGCUGGAGGAUCCUUCGCAUCUUGGUAUGAUAGCCUUGGAAGAGGACAAGGCAAUGAAGCCAGUUUUGAGAAGGUCCGCCUCAUGGACAAACUGA
rnacentral:rRNA from 1 species